UACGAAGGGGGCUAGCGUUGCUCGGAAUUACUGGGCGUAAAGCGCACGUAGCGGUCUCUUAAGUCGGUGGUGAAAUCCUGGAGCUCAACUCCAGAACUGCCUUCGAUACUGGGGGACUCGAGUUCGGGAGAGGUGAGUGGAACUGCGAGUGUAGAGGUGAAAUUCGUAGAUAUUCGCAAGAACACCAGUGGCGAAGGCGGCUCACUGGCCCGAUACUGACGCUGAGGUGCGAAAGCGUGGGGAGCAAACAGG
rnacentral:rRNA from 1 species